UACGGAGGGGGCUAGCGUUGUUCGGAAUUACUGGGCGUAAAGCGCACGUAGGCGGAUUGGAAAGUUGGGGGUGAAAUCCCGGGGCUCAACCCCGGAACUGCCUUCAAAACUCCCAGUCUGGAGGUCGAGAGGGGUGAGUGGAAUUCCAAGUGUAGAGGUGAAAUUCGUAGAUAUUCGGAGGAACACCAGUGGCGAAGGCGGCUCACUGGCUCGAUACUGACGCUGAGGUGCGAAAGCGUGGGGAUCAAACAGG
rnacentral:rRNA from 1 species